AUUGAACGCUGGCGGCAGGCCUAACACAUGCAAGUCGAACGAGUGGCGGACGGGUGAGUAAUGUCUGGGCAACUGCCUGAUGGAGGGGGAUAACUACUGGAAACGGUAGCUAAUACCGCCUACCUUCGGAUGUGCCCAGAUGGGAUUAGCUAGUAGGUGGGGUAAAGGCGCACCUAGGCGCCGAUCCCUAGCUGGUCUGAGAGGAUUACCAGCCACACUGGGACUGAUACACGGCCCAGACUCCUACGGGAGGCAGCAGGGGGGAAUAUUGCACAAUGGGCGCAAGCCUGAUGCAGCCAUGCCGCGUGUAUGAAGAAGGCCUUCGGGUUGUAAAGUACUUUCAGCGGGGAGGCGUUACCCGCAGAAGAAGCACCGGCUAACUCCGUGCCAGCAGCCGCGGUAAUUC
rnacentral:rRNA from 1 species